rnacentral:snoRNA from 1 species
UGUGCGUGUCCAGGUGGCAUGGAGGAGCACAGGGCUUUGCCUGUGACAUACAGUCCUGUCCCACAGCGUCAAGCCGGGCCUUGAGUCUGCGCCUGCGUAUUCCUACAGCUUCUCAGCGUCCUGUGAACAGUGACUGAGGAGACAAACCACACAGGAAACAAAC